GAUGAACGCUAGCGGCAGGCUUAACACAUGCAAGUCGAGGGGCAGCAUGAGACGGAGAUUCGUCGAAGUCUUGAUGGCGACCGGCGCAAGGGUGCGUAACGCGUGAGCAACUUGCCCGUUUCUGGGGAAUAACCGGUGGAAACGCCGACUAAUACCCCAUAGUAUAACGAAGAGGCAUCUUUUGUUAUUAAAGAAUUUCGGAAACGGAUAGGCUCGCGUGACAUUAGCUAGAUGGUGAGGUAACGGCUCACCAUGGCGACGAUACAUAGGGGGACUGAGAGGUUAACCCCCCACACUGGUACUGAGACACGGACCAGACUCCUACGGGAGGCAGCAGUGAGGAAUAUUGGUCAAUGGACGCAAGUCUGAACCAGCCAUG
rnacentral:rRNA from 1 species